rnacentral:rRNA from 1 species
AUUGAACGCUGGCGGCAGGCCUAACACAUGCAAGUCGAGCGAGCGGCGGACGGGUGAGUAAUGUAUGGGGACUGCCCGAUAGAGGGGGGUAACUCCUGGGAACAGUGGCGAAUACCGCAUACUGUCUGGUAACGCCUAUGGGAUUAGCUAGUAGGUAAGGUAAUGGCUUACCUAGGCGACGAUCCCUAGCUGGUCUGAGAGGAUGAUACGCCACACUGGAACUGAGACACGGCCCAGACUCCUACGGAGGCAGCAGUGGGGAAUAUUGCACAAUGGGCGCAAGCCUGAUGCAGCCAUGCCGCGUGUAUGAAGAAGGCCUUAGGGUUGUAAAGUACUUUCAGUCGGGAGGCGUUACCGACAGAAGAAGCACCGGCUAACUCCGUGCCAGCAGCCGCGGUAAUAC